UACGGGGGGAGCAAGCGUUGUUCGGAUUUACUGGGCGUAAAGGGCGCGUAGGCGGUCAGCACAAGUCAGUUGUGAAAUCUCCGAGCUUAACUCGGAAAGGUCAACUGAAACUGUGCGACUAGAGUGCGGAAGGGGCAACUGGAAUUCUUGGUGUAGCGGUGAAAUGCGUAGAUAUCAAGAGGAACACCUGCGGCGAAGGCGGGUUGCUGGGCCGACACUGACGCUGAAGCGCGAAAGCUAGGGGAGCGAACGGG
rnacentral:rRNA from 1 species